AGAGCGAACGCUGGCGGCAGGCCUAACACAUGCAAGUCGAACGGACCCUUCGGGGUUAGUGGCGGACGGGUGAGUAACACGUGGGAACGUGCCUUUAGGUUCGGAAUAGCUCCUGGAAACGGGUGGUAAUGCCGAAUGUGCCCUUCGGGGGAAAGAUUUAUCGCCUUUAGAGCGGCCCGCGUCUGAUUAGCUUGUUGGUGAGGUAAUGGCUCACCAAGGCUACGAUCAGUAGCUGGUCUGAGAGGAUGACCAGCCACAUUGGGACUGAGACACGGCCCAAACUCCUACGGGAGGCAGCAGUGGGGAAUCUUGCGCAAUGGGCGAAAGCCUGACGCAGCCAUGCCGCGUGUAUGAUGAAGGUCUUAGGAUUAGUAAAAUACUUUCACCGGUGAAGAUAAAUGACUGUAGCCGGAGAAGAACGCCCGGCUAACUUCGCGCCAGCAGCCGC
rnacentral:rRNA from 1 species